AGCUCCAAUAGCGUAUAUUAAAGUUGUUGCAGUUAAAUAGCUCGUAGUUGAAUUUUGGGCCGGGUCUAAUGGUCAGCCCUUUGGGUUGUACUGUUGGCUUGGUCUUUCUUUCUGGGGAACUUAUGUGCACUUCACUGUGUGUGUAAGGGAUCCAGGACUUUUACUUUGAAAAAAUUAGAGUGUUUAAAGCGGGCUUUUGCUUGAAUACAUUAGCAUGGAAUAAUAGAAUAGGACUUUGGUUCUAUUUUGUUGGUUUCUAGGGCCGAAGUAAUGAUUAAUAGGGAUAGUUGGGGGCAUUAGUAUUUAAUUGUCAGAGGUGAAAUUCUUGGAUUUAUGAAAGACUAACUUCUGCGAAAGCAUUUGCCAAGGAUGUUUUCA
rnacentral:rRNA from 1 species